AAGUCGAACGAAAAGACGGAAAGAGCUUGCUCUUUCCGGAAUUGAGUGGCAAACGGGUGAGUAACACGUAAACAACCUGCCUUCAGGAUGGGGACAACAGACGGAAACGACUGCUAAUACCGAAUAAGCCCACGGUACCGCAUGGUACUGAGGGAAAAGGAUUUAUUCGCUUCAGGAUGGACUCGCGUCCAAUUAGCUAGUUGGUGAGGUAACGGCCCACCAAGGCGACGAUCAGUAGCCGGACUGAGAGGUUGAACGGCCACAUUGGGACUGAGAUACGGCCCAGACUCC
rnacentral:rRNA from 1 species